GUGAGAUGUUGGGUUAAGUCCCGCAACGAGCGCAACCCUCGCUUCUAGUUGCCAGCAUUCAGUUGGGCACUCUAGAGGGACUGCCGGUGAUAAGCCGGAGGAAGGUGGGGAUGACGUCAGGUCAUCAUGGCCCUUACGGCCAGGGCUACACACGUGCUACAAUGGUGCGCACAGAGGGCUGCAAACCCGCGAGGGGGAGCCAAUCUCACAAAACGCAUCGUAGUCCGGAUCGCAGUCUGCAACUCGACUGCGUGAAGUCGGAAUCGCUAGUAAUCGUGAAUCAGAAUGUCACGGUGAAUACGUUCCCGGGCCUUGUACACACCGCCCGUCACACCAUGGGAGUUGGUUUUACCUGAAGACGGUGCGCUAACCGAAAGGGGGCAGCCGGCCACGGUAGGGUCAGCGACUGGGGUGAAGUCGGAACAAGGUAGCCGUAGGGGAAC
rnacentral:rRNA from 12 species